UCAAGCCACAUCAGAAUACAUUAGCACA
rnacentral:sRNA from 1 species